GACUCUUGGCAACGGAUAUCUCGGCUCUCGCAUCGAUGAAGAACGUACCGAAAUGCGAUACCUGGUGUGAAUUGCAGAAUCCCGCGAACCAUCGAGUCUUUGAACGCAAGUUGCGCCCGAGGCCACUCGGCCGAGGGCACGCCUGCCUAGGCGUCA
rnacentral:rRNA from 16 species